rnacentral:tRNA from 1 species
UCUCCUGUAGCUCAGUGGUAGAACGUCCGACCAGUGUGCGGAAGGUAAUAGGUUCGUCUCCUGUUGGGGGAA